GUGGAGCAUGUGGCUUAAUUUGACUCAACGCGGGAAAUCUUACCGGGUCCGGACACACUGAGGAUUGACAGGCAAUAUUAAAACUUGCUAGCUUUAUGCUCGUAAAUUUUAUGUUAAAUAUGCUAGUCCUUUCAUGAUUAUGUGAUAGGUGGUGCAUGGCCGUUCUUAGUUCGUGGAGUGAUCUGUCUGCUUAAUUGCGUUUCAUAUCAAAGUCAAUUUAAACUUGACGCUGCAUAUUUUGACCCCUGCCUCACGGCUUGGCGUGUCUUAGUAUCAGCUCUUGUGUAUGACUAAGAAAGCAACGAACGUGACCGCAACCUCUUGUUGCCUCUUGCACACAACCUUAGCUUUGAUCUUUUGGUCAUAUGUUAAGAAAAAGGGGCUUUUAAAACUAGAGGGACCGCUGUAAUUUUCUUAAACCAGAGGAAGGUUGCGGCAAUAACAGGUCUGUGAUGCCC
rnacentral:rRNA from 1 species